rnacentral:rRNA from 1 species
UGGGGAAUAUUGGACAAUGGGCGCAAGCCUGAUCCAGCCAUGCCGCGUGAGUGAUGAAGGCCUUAGGGUUGUAAAGCUCUUUCACCGGUGAAGAUAAUGACGGUAACCGGAGAAGAAGCCCCGGCUAACUUCGUGCCAGCAGCCGCGGUAAUACGAAGGGGGCUAGCGUUGUUCGGAAUUACUGGGCGUAAAGCGCACGUAGGCGGAUAUUUAAGUCAGGGGUGAAAUCCCAGAGCUCAACUCUGGAACUGCCUUUGAUACUGGGUAUCUUGAGUAUGGAAGAGGUAAGUGGAAUUGCGAGUGUAGAGGUGAAAUUCGUAGAUAUUCGCAGGAACACCAGUGGCGAAGGCGGCUUACUGGUCCAUUACUGACGCUGAGGUGCGAAAGCGUGGGGAGCAAACAGG